rnacentral:rRNA from 1 species
UCAGUAGGCGGUGUGGCAAGUCGGGAGUGAAAUCUCUGGGCUCAACCCAGAGGCUGCUUCCGAAACUGCUGUGCUUGAGUGUGGGAGAGGCGCGUGGAAUUGCAGGUGUAGCGGUGAAAUGCGUAGAUAUCUGCAGGAACACCCGUGGCGAAAGCGGCGCGCUGGACCACAACUGACGCUGAAUGACGAAAGCUAGGGGAGCAAACG